rnacentral:rRNA from 1 species
AUGGUUUCCGCCGACGCCGCCCGCAACAUCGUCGGCAUCGUCGGCAAUGUCAUCUCCUUCGGGCUCUUCCUCUCCCCUGUGCCGACGUUCUGGCGGAUCAUCAAGGCCAAGGACGUGGAGGAGUUCAAGCCGGACCCCUACCUGGCGACGCUGCUCAACUGCAUGCUCUGGGUCUUCUACGGCCUCCCCAUCGUCCACCCCAACAGCAUCCUCGUCGUCACCAUCAACGGGAUCGGGCUCGUCAUCGAGAGCGCCUACCUCAUCAUAUUCUUCAUCUACGCCACCAGGAACACACGGUUGAAGAUGCUCGGCGUGCUCGCCGUCGAGGCCUUGUUCAUGGUGGCCGUGGUGGCCGGCGUGCUCCUCGGCGCCCACACCCACGAGAAGCGCUCCAUGAUCGUCGGCAUCCUCUGCGUCAUCUUCGGCUCGGUCAUGUACGCCUCCCCGCUCACCAUCAUGGGUAAAGUGAUCAAGACCAGGAGCGUGGAGUACAUGCCAUUCGUCCUCUCCCUGGUGAACUUCCUCAACGGCUGCUGCUGGACGGCCUAUGCGCUCAUCAAGUUCGACCUCUACAUCACGAUCCCCAAUGGACUCGGUGCCGUCUUUGGCCUCGCCCAGCUGAUCCUCUACGGCUGCUACUACAGGUCGACUCCCAAGAAGGGGAAGAAUGUCGAGCUGCCUACCGUCAAAGUCACAAAGAACAGCGUUGGCGGCGGCAGGGUCUCCGUCACCGUUGAGAAAUAA